rnacentral:lncRNA from 1 species
CGUGCGUCUCAAAAUGUCAUAAAAUAUGUCUCAUAUCAAAACUAAUGUCAAGAUCAUGUCAAAAAUAUCAGAGUCUAACUCCCAGGCUAAAACUGUGGUGUGUGUCAUGCUAUCAUCCCGAGCCCUUCCCCUUGCUAGCUGAAGUACCUGAAACCAAAACUGAGACUGUAAGCACGAUGCAUAGUGAGCUCCCCCAAACUACCACAUACCAUACAAUAACAUAUAAAGCACAUACUGGGCCUUGCCCACUGCAUCAGACCGAAGUUUGGAACUAACUAGGGCCUUGCCCUCUGCAUCGGACCGAAGUCCGAAACUGACUAGGGCCUUGCCCUCUGCAUCGGGCCGAAGUCCGGAACUGACUAGGGUCAUGCCCACUGCAUCGGACCGGAGUCCGAAACUAACUAGGGCCUUGCCCACUACAUCAGACCGAAGUCCGGAACUGAAUGAACAUAGCAUAACAUAAUCAUAACAUAUAACAAUAACACAUAUACUGCAUACUGCAUCGGACCGCAGUCCGGAACACAUAACACAUACACAUGCCUGAAUCACAAAGACAUCAAGCAUACUGAACUACUUAUCGGGACCACCCUAGCAUCGGACCGCAGUCCGGAACUACUGCUAUCUAAACUGGCCGAAAUUGUGGCCGUAGACCCGCUCCUACUGAAAGGAAACUCACCUCACACUGCUGAAGUCCUGCUGACAAAACAAUAACUGCUGGAUGACAGAUUCCCGGUCUGUUAAUAUCAAAAUAACACCCAAUUAAUAAUUGGGUUCCAACUCAUAACCAUAAGUCCAUGAUUGCGGUAAAAGACUACUUUACCCCUAUCUUAGCUUGACUCAAGCCCAAGGUCUAAUCCAAAGGCCCAAAAGUCUAAUAAUGGACCAAGGCCCAACUAUGGCCCAUCNAAUUUUCCCAUUGGGCCCAAGUCUCUACAUGGUCUUGAUCAAAGGCCCAAUCAUUCAUUCUUGGUCCAACACUUGACAUUCUCAUAGUCCAACAUCUCAUAAUCAUCAAGGCCCAUACUAUGGCCCAAUUUUUCAAAUUGCGCCCAAACUCCUUACGUGGGCCUUACACUAAGUCCAUUAGAUUAUUCUAGUCUAUUUGCUUGCUUUUGGAUGGUCCAUUUUUAUCCCAAUCACCAAGGCCCAAUAGGAAGGCCCAACUCAAAGUCCAAGUGAAAUUAGGGUUUCACAUAAAAUGACAAUUAGGGGUAAGUGUUUCUCACUUAACCCAUUAAGGACUUAAUCCAUUAAGUCCUUUACUCUACUAGAUAAGUGAUAUGUGAUAAUUGGGCUUAAUACACAAUCCAAUCCCAAUAAGUCCAAGGCCCAAAUACUCACAAUUAGGGUUUUCUACCCAAACAUGGCCCAAUAGGCCCAAAAUUAAUCUUUAAGCCCAUUAGGAUUUUGCUAGGUCCAUUAGGGUUUUGCUUGUGGGGCACCACCCACUACCACCUCGGGUAGUGGUGGUUAACGGCGACACACAGCGACGGCCACCACCUUAUGGUGGUGGUUAUUAUUAUUUUUCAUUAUUCAAUACUAAUUACAGUUACAAGGCUUUUAUCCAAAAUAACACACACACACACUCACUAACACACACUCUCACUAACACACACACACUAACUAGCACACACACACAACCACACCGUGGCGUCCGACGAUGGCGCUUGGCGGAAGCCACCACCCUAUGGUGGUGGUGAUGCUAUUUUCGAGAACUUCAACUAUACACACCCACACACACCAAGUGAAACACGCAUAUCUUCACUCCUAUGCUCAGAAAAGGAAACCAACCACCCACCGGGCGGCGUUUCUCUUGUCAAACAACAACGAUGUCAGUAAGCACUUGCUUGGGAAUUUAGACGCAACCACGACCUUAUGGUGGUGCGUGACGACGGCAGCGGCAUCCUUUACGACCACAACAGUGGCUAAAAGCGGCGUUGCAGCAACGAACUAGAGAGAAGAAGAGAUGAGGAGGAUGACCGGAGACCACCUUGGAACGAAGCAAUGCCCACAACAAGAAGUGGAGGAAGGAGAUGGCGAUCCAAUAGCGAAGGAGCAGCGGCAGGAGGCUCGGCAGCACAGCGGUGGACGGUCUCGGAAGAGGGAAACACCACAGUAACCUCGGCACCGGCCACAGUCCCGUCAUCGAAGUCGCAUGGAGUCGCCGGCGAUCCUACUAUGGCCUCACGGAGGCAGUUGUUGGGACGAAGGGGUGAUAAGGUGAGGGUGGCGGUUGCAUAGGGGGGUUUAGGGUUAGGGUUUAGUCGGUGGUGAAGUUUUAUACCCGACUUCACUAAAAGUGUGCCAUAAUAUCAAGAUCAUCCCUCCCUUUCUCUUUUUCUUCCAAACCAAGGCCAUAAUUUACCCUUCCCACCCUUGCUCACGAAAUUUCUUUCAUAUCUAGUCCCACAGUUACAUUUCAGCCCCUCCUUACAAAUUAUUCUUCAAAUAAAGUCCAUAUAUUACCUUUUAAACCCUGGCUUUCAAAACUCUUUAAAAUGGAGUCCAGAAUUACCUUUUAGCCCUUGCUUCUCAUAAUCUAUCCAUCUUAAGUCCCGAUAAUUUACCACGUGGUCCUUACCUUCAUAAAUACUUACAAUGACACUUUUAAUCCCCGACUUCUAAAAUUGUAACAAUUAGCCCUUCGAGACCAUCCUUAAUAUAUAAUUAUUUAUUUUAGGGCUACCAUUCAUUCAUAAAUUUCAUCUAUUUAAUUAUUUAAUAAACGGGGUGUUACAUAUACAUUCUUUGGAAAGUAGUUGUGUUAUCAUGGUUUUGACUCACAAAAUUUUUAAUUGAACUACUUGGAUUUGAUCUCAACAACUCACCACCAUAAUCCCAUACUUUAGCAUAAUGGUCACUCAAUUUCCCUUCUAUCAAAGACAUGACCCUGCACUUUAACCAGGACACUGCAGUAGAAUCUGCUUAGGAUAAUUACCUGCAUUUCCUUACACUUCAACUUAGGCUUCUUGAUCAAUUCUUUCAGAAAUUUGUUUCCUAAUCAUGUUGGAUCCAUAUGGAUGGUAUUAUUGUAACUCCUAACACACUUAUGUUUGUCAACAAGUUUCUUAAUUUUGAAAUGACCUCUCUGUGCUUAUCCAAGAAGCCCUAACAUUAAAGGGACAUUGGAAUUUUUUUGGAUCACUAGCACGUACAACAAUUAGCCUAACACUGUCACAUUUCUUGAACUUUAUCUUAUAGCCAGUAUAAAUAGCGUGGUUGGUUAAACAUAACUUCAAUUGAUGGGGCGAUUCAUACCUCUCUCCCAGAAAUGGUCUCAUCUUGUUCCAUUCCACCUUUGGAUCGUGGGUGUUAUACUCAAACUCAAGCUCAGAAUUUUUGUCACUUUCAGUUGAUACUUCAUUAGAACCAGAUACUUCAUUAGAACCAAAUACUUCUCGAUUAAUGUCAAAAUGUUCUUCGUUCUCCACCACAUCAUCUUCAUUUAAGUCACCAUCAUCAUCGAUAUUUUCAAUUUCAAGGAUUGCAAAGUCAUCACCUUCUUCACCACUUAUCUUGGCCCACAAGCUGUUCAAGAACGCGUCAUUGCAUCUCUUGGUUUGCUUCUUCUUCAAAUCCUUGUCUAUUGUAAUAUCAAUAGUUUUAAAAUCCCAAGCGUCUUCCAUUUGCAAAGCUUGGAAGACUCGAACUCAUGCCCUCAGUUGUCAUCUUCUUCAUAGGUAAAAACCCUAGUUUCUACGAAAGGAGUGGAUAUUGGGCUAACUGUGUGAUUUACCGUUGGAGGAAUAAGUGUAUGAGGUUUGGUUGACUCACCUUCCACUUAAUCUCAUUUAAUGCCACAUCGAUUUGCAAGAGUGGUAACCGGAUAAAAUGAGUCAAUUCUCUACUUUAUCCGAUAUUCUAUGUUUUUUCGUUAACAUUUUUUAGUUUAGGAUUUUUUUCGUAAAUAGGGGCAAAAUAAUAGGAUUUUAUUAGAGAUUUCCUAAUUUUUAUUUUAAUUUUCCUUAAGAUAUGAUAAAUAUUAGAAACUGAAAAUGAUGUCAACAAUUUACAUAUUAUAUCAACAUCACAUCGUUCAACACUACAUCGUUCAACACUACAUCCUAAUUUUUAUUUUAAUUUUCCUUAAGAUAUGAUAAAUAUUAGAAACUGAAAAUGAUGUCAACAAUUUACAUAUUAUAUCAACAUCACAUCGUUCAACACUACAUCGUUCAACACUACAUCCUAAUUUUUAUUUUAAUUUUCCUUAAGAUAUGAUAAAUAUUAGAAACUGAAAAUGAUGUCAACAAUUUACAUAUUAUAUCAACAAUUAGGGGUGACAAUUGUGGACACGACACGACAAAAAUACACGACAUGAAACGAAAUUGGGACGAAACUGAAAUUCGAAUUCGUGUUCGUGUCGUGUUCGUGUCAAGUGUAAAAAACACGAUGUCGUGUCAUGUCGUGUUCGUGUUACAAAUUCGACACGAUAUUGACACGAUUUAGCAUUUAUUUGUCGUGUUUUUCGUGUUUCUCGUGUUUGUGGUGUUAUGUAUGAUUAAAUAUUAAUUAAAUACACUAAUUGUUAUAUUAUGUUAGUUUUUCGUGUCGUGUCGUGUUUGUCGUUUUUUAAUUGGUUCGUUUUCGUGUUAGUUAGAAAAAACACGACAUCGUGUCGUGUCGUGUUCGUGUUACAUAAAACCUUGUCGUGCCGUGUCGUGUCAGACAAAAACACGACACGAUGGCCCGAUUUGCCACCCCUACAUAGGAAGUAACGUUUAUAUUUAUACGUUGCAUAACGAUGUAUGGGGACUGAAAACAUGUAUAAUUAGUUGCGAGUGACUAAAUUGAAAAGAAAAAAAAGAGUAGUGGGUCAUCCAUCAUAAACUAUUGUUAAAAUACAUAAUGUUAUCUGAAACUAGAAAUAAAUUGCAUUUUGUCAUUUAUUCAUAACAUUUCAAGAACAUUCCAAUAAUUCAAUUAUUCACUAUUAAGUUAUUUCAGGAGACUUUUUGUGAUUUUCAAACAAAAAUUAUCCAAAUAUUUCCAAACUAAGUGUUUAUUUAAUUAAUUUUCACCCAAUAAUGAAAAUUAAAAGCAUUUUAUCCAUGUACUGCAAAAGCUAGACAACUUUGUAAAAUUUAUGUUUUCUUAGGCUAUCAGCUCCAUGUCAAGGGUCGUGGAGAGCUUCUAGAUCAACCACCACGAACCAUCACAAAAUAACCAAGUACUCUCCACACACACACAGAGAGAGAGAGAGAGAGAGAGAGAGAGAGAGAGAGAGAGAGAGAGAGCGAGAGNNNNNNNNNNNNNNNNNNNNNNNNNNNNNNNNNNNNNNNNNNNNNNNAGAGAGAGAGAGAGAGAGAAGAAGAAGAAGAAGAAGAAGAAGAAGAAGAAAAGAUUGGUCGUGAUCAAUUGUCCUCCCCACCACAACUCACAACGAAAACACCCGAUCACGAAGCGGUAGAAUGGUGUGCAUGGUCGUUGUUCGUUGACACAUCAACCACGAUGCCCUCCAUAAUAUGUAUUACAAAAGGCCUAAGUUGUAAUUUUAGAAUAACUAAAAUAAAAGUAAGAAAAACUACAACAAAAAGUUUUAGUGCCAAAAUCAUUUUCUUUGGGUUAUUAUGUGCAUGCAUGUAAAAACACAAUAAUAAUCCAAAUCAAUAAAUAAUAAGAAAAAUGGCAAAAAGUUUUUUUUUUCUUUUAUUUAUUUAUUAUUUUUUUAAAACACAAACAUAUACACUUCCUACACUCCUCCUAAACCAAGCCUUUUUAUAAUGAUAUACAAGUGAAUCUAAGCAUAUUUCAUUCAUCUACUAUUUUUCAUCCAAACUUAAGAAUACGUAUUUCUAUUUAUAAAAUUAACAAAAAAAAUCCCAUGACCUAAUUUACAUAUCACUAACAAUUUGGGAAUUUUCAUUAAAAUGGAGAAAAGUUAACAAUUGCUGAAUGUUGCUAUCUUUUUAUAUUCGAGCUUAACUUUAUUAAACAUAACAUAUCUCAUACUCAAUUCCUCAUAUAUUUAUAAUAUAUGUGAUUUUAUUGAAAACCACCAAAAGCCAAAGUUUCCAUAACAUCAACAUCAACCUCAUGCAAUUCAAUUCAAACACAUCUUUAGAAUCCUUAUGGAAUGCUCAUUGAUAAUUCGUUGAAAGAUUGUACAUUCUUUAACAUCUUGUAUUCAAAACAUCAUCACUCCAAUUUACAGACAAAUAUCAGCCAAAAAGCUCCAAAUAUUGUUUCACUUACGCUAAAAGCUCCAAAAUCAGUACUGUAGACUAUAGUGACAACAAAGGUAGCAGAUACAGAAAAUGGCAAAGAUGGUGCAUCUUUUAGUAUCACUUAAGUAUUUGGUCAAAGAAAGUCAAAACAGUUUCUUCAAAAGGCCUUUAACAUAUUUUGAUUGAUUAAUAAUGAUGCCUUUUGAAUCCGAGUGCAAUGAGCUAGGUACUAGUUCACAAACAAAUAACACUUUAAAAGUUAGUAAACACACUCUUAGGUAACAAACACUCGGUUGACAUCUUAGAAUACCUAAGACAUACUUUCUUAUGUUUUCUUAGAUCGAUAUCCACGUUCUUGAGCUUUCCAGAUGCCUAUAAUUCCGCACACAGUUCACUUUGUAAUACCAACAUGUAACAUGCUAAAGCGUGACAAACAACACUUUACAAGCAAUACAAUAUUCUUCUAUCGUACUUCAUAUAUUUCGUCAUGCAUAUCGAAUUCUUCAAUAUAUAGACAAGCAAUAUAUGUUGAGAGUAUCAUAACAUGUGACUUAGUAUACUCAUUGACAAUCUAAGAUAGUAGAUUCUAUCAUCCUCCAAACCAAUAAUGACACAAAUACGAGGAAAUCAACGGAUGUUGCAGUUGGCUGGAAUGGAGCUAGCUACUCCCCUUUUACUCAUCUACCUCUUUAAAACCUUACGUAAUUUUCAUUAUUGUACUUUUUGCCCACCUUAGUUUCUUGCUAAGGGUUGUGGUUUCUUUAAUGCUAUCUUACUUGUCGUUUCCAAAAAAUACUACCAACUUUUAAUAGAAAAGAUAAUUUUUCCGAUGUGAUGCCUUUUAUAAAUUAAAUUACAUAACAUUUAUUCACAAAAAGCAUGAUAUAACAAUUAAUUCACAAAAAGCAUGAUGUCCAACGUAUACAUAUAAUCGAUUGUCUUUACCCUCUACUAAAAUCUGAGCACUAUCACAUUCUUCUAUUUAAUCAUUUUAUUUGAUAGAUUCUUUUUACUUUUUUUUACUAAUUCUUAACUAAACUAAUAACUUACAAUAAAUUCUAAAAAGAAAACAAGAAAAACAUGACCAAAAAGGCUUAGAAUUUAUGAAAUGAGGUCAUUUUAUUAGAAGAUGUCAAGUAGGAUUGUAAACAUAUCGAGUUAUUCGAGCUCAAACUAGACUCGAACUUGUUCAAGUUCGAUUUGAAAUACAAGAAACAAGACUAAAAUCAUGUAAGGAAUCGUGUUUGAGGUAAUAAGAAUUAAGAAACUUAACUCGCAUUAUAAUUUAGUUUAACUUGUUCUAUUAAAUUCAAACACGAUUUUAUAGAUAUUUUCGAGUUAUUCAAGUUCUUUGGUUGACAUUCGAUAGUCAUUUUUGAGCUAUUCAAGCUUUUGUCGGGUUUUAUUUAUGUAUAUGUCGAGUUAUUCAUGUUCUAUUGUCGACAUUCAGACAUUAAUAUGACUUUUAUUUAUGUAUUUCUAUAGAAAAAAUAAAAAUAAAUCUAGAAUAGAAGAGUAAAAACUGAAAAAAAAUCCAUAAAACAUGGGCAAUUAAUGUGAAAAGAGCAGAUUUGGAGGAUGAGAAGGGUAAUGAUACAGUGUUAUCAAAAGAAGUCUCUGGAGGGUACAUCGGUUGAAAUAGACGAUUCGGGAAAACAAGGGUCCCGCAUCGCACGAUAGUGCUUGUUGUACAACCUCAGUUUAUGGUGCCUAAUGUCUUGAUGUGACAAAAAUCACCAUUCGAUCUUAUCAACUUCGAAUCCUUCUUGUUUACAUCCGUCGAUUACAUCUGGUCCCUCCCGCACGACCACGUGAAUUCUCCUGCACCCUCAUUAUCCUUGAAAAGUCUGCUACCCCCAACACUUUUCUAAUUGCUAGUUACUAACUAAGAAUUCGAUUUUCAAACAAUUGUAUCACACAAAAAUAUAUAUAUAUAUAUAUAUAUUUUAAACAUGGCUAACCUAAGAGUGUGUAAAAUGUGCAUCCGCACUGGGUCCCAAGAAAAAUAGGCCCGAUUUUUAACCAAAUUAUAUAUAUUUAAUAUCUAAAUAUAUAUCCUUUUAUACAAAUUAAUUGCAUAAUUUGGAUAGUUCAUAUGGCUUAAACAUUUGCGUAGGCGCGCUUGUUUUUAUAUAUGAUGAGGGUUCGACUCCUCUUCACUUUAGAAGUUACAGUUUUGGCCCCUCUAACUUUAUAUGUUAGUUUUUCUUAGUGUACUAGUUUUUCAAAAGGGUUAAUGAUCUAAAAGGUAACGAGCUUUGGUUUUUGUCCAUAUUUAGGUAAUCAUGUUUUUUUUCGUUUAUAUUUGACCAUUGAACUUGUUUGACCUGUUCAAAAUAAGGUAAUAUGACUGCUAAUUACGAUAAUAUUACCGGAUUAUGAACAGGUCAAACAAGUUUAUUAGUCAAAUGUAUACGAAAAAAACAUGCUUACCAAAAUAUGGACAAACCAAAGUUUCUUACUCGUUUUGGUAAUAUUGGACAAGAAUCGUCUCAGGGAUUGUGCCUUAGGAUCAGGCUCCGAUAGUCAAUGAACAAUUAGGUUAGGCUUGGUCUAAAUUGGUUUGCCCCAAGACCUGACCAAAGUUUCUUAUCCGUUUUGGUAAUAUUUGACACAUACAACCUAGCCUUUUAAGCGUAUACAACCUAACCCGUAACUAACUAGGCCUAAACUGGGUUGCCCCAAGACCUGACCAUCUCCUCAUAUACAAAGACCAGACAACCCAAUUUCAUGUCAAAUCAAUGGGUCUUAUGACUACUUGCACUUAACAUAAAGAACUUAAUAUUAUCAAAAUGGGUAAUAAACUUUGGUUUUUGUCCAUAUUUAGGUAACCAUGUUUUUUUCGUAUACAUUUGACCAAUAAACUUGUUUGACCUGUUCAUAAUAGGGUAAUGUUACCGUUAAUUGUCAGUCAUAUUACCUUAUUUUGAAAAGGUUAAACAAGUUCAAUGGUCAAAUAUGUACGAAAAAAACAUGGUUAUCUUAAUUUGAACAAAGACCAAAGUUCGUUGUCUUUCUAAUUCAUUAACCCCUUUCAAAAGGUAUAUACAUAAACUCUCAAUUUUAUAAUUUUGUAUUUGGCCCUUUUUCAUUAAUUUGUUUUAAUUUUUUAGUUUUUCUUAAUACANNNNNNNNNNUAUAAUAUUGUAUUUAGGGGCUUAUUUUUAUUUUUUGUACAGGGCCUUCAAAUUCAAUGGAUCGGCCCUAAGUUUAAGGCCAUAUCCAACCGACCUCUAAACCCCUUUUACUUUAUGAUUUACAUGUAAGGAUGAAAACGAGCCGAGUCGAGCCCAAGCCUGGCCAAGCUCAAUUCGGACUCGUUUAAGUUAUAUGAGGCUCGAGCUUUCUUGUACUGAGCUCGACUCGAGCUCGUAAAGAAUUAUACAAGCUCGAUCAAGGUUCAGGCUCGACGCGUUUUUUAUCUGACAUGCCUAAAUAAGCUUAAGUUCGGCUUGAGCUCUUGUUAAGAAGCUUGUUUACCAAUACUCUAAAUCCAUAAUUCCCCAAAUAUGUUUUUAGUUUAAUAUAUAAAAAUAAUUAUAAAUUAUAUUAAAUAAAGGCUCAUUUAGGCUUGCGAGCCUUAAUACUAAGCUCGAGCUCGAUUCGGGCUCAUUUAAAAUCAGUUUCAAGUCGAGCUUUUAACGAUCCGAUCCCAAACUGCUCACAAAUAGUUUGGUUCGUUUGCACCCCUAUUUGCAUGUCAUUUUCAAUCCAACCGUUCUUCAAAAUCAUAUUUACUUUUAUGUUGUUCCUUUUUAACAUUAUAUAUGAAAUAAUAUGAUUAGAAUCUAACAUUUUAAAGGUUGAUUGAAAUUUAAAUAUUAUUUUGAUGUUAAACACACAUCAUUAUUUAACAUCAAAAUAGUAUCUGAAUUCCAAUCAAUCUUUAAAAUGAUGAAUUUUAGACUUUUAUAUUUGGCAUUUAUGUAAUUGGAGAAGCUCUAAUAGUUGUAUUUAGACAUGACAAAACACGACACGACAACCCGACAUGAAAUUAGCGGGUUUUGGUAAGAGAUUUUGAUACAUUUAAAUAAACGGGUUGACACGACACGAUACGAUAAUUUAUCGGGUAAAAUUAGGGUCAAUAUUUUCAACUCGAAUAUGACCCGUUUAAUUAUAUAUCAUUUUUUUUAAAUCUCAUAUUUUUAUAAAUAUAUUAUAUAUUAUAGACUUUUAGUGGGCUAAAAUCAAGAACUAAAUAUAAAAUUCAAACUUUCAAAGUGACUUAAUUUUACUUGUCCUCACCAUCUAUCCUAUUUGCUCCAACUCGUUCCUUAACUCUAACUCUUUCUAUUUUGCUUUCUAAACUUACCAUGAAUUUUGUCAUUGCACCUCUCAACUCCAGUCUUUCCCUUUUUCCGUUAUGCCUACCCGUCUCCUACUUUUCAACCUUUUAAAAUGUUUCAAUCCGACAUGAUACAGCAUAUUUACAAAGUCUAAACAUUAACCUGAAACCCGACACGAAAAUAAAUGGGUUGACGUGACACAACACAAUAAUUAAACAUGUCGAGUUAAAGUCAAGACCUCUCAACUCAUUUAAUGUCUUGACAUAACAUGAACCCGAUACAUUUUCUAGGUCUAGUUAUAUUUUAAUAGAUGUUAAAUGAUAACAAAAAGUUUUAUAAUUAUAAAAUGACCAAAAUAACAUGAAAAUGGGGACGAAAAAAAAAAGAUAGUUCAUUAAGGAUAGUAUUGACAUUUAUCUCAAAAAAUCACAAGUUUAAAAAGUGAGAAAUAAACUAUUUCUUAAAAACUCAUUUUUGAAGGUAUUAAAAAGUUGUUUUCAAAAGCAUUUUUAAAGAGGUAGGGGCGAUAAUUGUUGACACGGUAUGACAAAAAUACAAAACACAAAACGACAUUGAUACGAAACUGAAAUUUGAAUAAAUGUUUGUGUCGUGUUCGUGUUAAGUAUAAAAAACACGAUAUUGUGUUGUGUCGUGCUCGGGUUCAGAUUUUGACACGAAAUUGACAUGAUUAAGCAUUUUGAUUGUCAUGUUUUCAUGUUUGUCGUGUUAUGUAUGAUUAAAUAUUAAUUAAAUAAACUAAUUUUAUAUUAUGUUAUCUUUGUCGUGUCGUAUCAUGUUUGUCGUUUUUUAUUAGGUUCGUUUUCGUGUUAUUUAAAAAAAACAUGACAUCGUGUCGUGUUGUGUUCAUAUCACAUAAAACAUUGUCAUGUUGUGUCGUGUUAGACAAAAACAUGACACAAUGACCUGAUUUAGGGAUGAACAGUUUUUCCCAAAUCUCGUUCCCGUACCGGUACCGUAUCGGAACCGGUACCGAACAGUACCGAAUUUUAAAAUAUGGGACGGUAAUGGGUCCUCAAAAUACAUGAAAUUCGGGAAUCGGUACCGCCGGUACCGGUACUAGUAUCGAAUAUCGGUACCAUUCCCGGUACCGGUACCGGUGAUGUUAAUUCGGUUCGGUACUCAGGAUUGAUUUUUGAUCAAAUUCGGUUUUCGAGAAAUCGGGAACGAUACAGGUCGAUACUGGUUCCGUCCCACGCACAUCCCUAACCUGAUUUGCCACCCCUAGUGGCAGGCCACCACGACUGUUGCACACCAUCCCAUGUGCGUCGUGGUGUGGUGGAUUGUGGUCACCACCACAUUUGACAACAACCAAUUGUCAUUCUUCUUCUCUCCUGCAGCUUAUCAUCUCUCUUAUUUUUUUUUCUCUUCUUCAAUAGGUAGUAUACAAACACAAGAUGUGGUGGUUUUUGGUAGCGUUACUUCCUGAGGUGGAAGGAAACCACGACCAUGGCCAUGGUCUCCAUACCAGCUGACCUAAGUUUGUCAAACAUUUGUUUAAUUUACUAGCGUAGAAAAAAAAAGCAAUAAAUCAAUAAAUUAUUUUAAAAAACAAUCCUAAACACCUCCUAAAUAAUUAUACAUGAUUUUUUUUUAUUUAGAAGAUAAUAACUUGAUGAGUUCAAAUCUAACUUAAUGUAAUAGGACAUUAACCUUUAUAUNNNNNNNNNNNNNNNNNNNNNNNNNNNNNNNNNNNNNNNNNNNNNNNNNNNNNNNNNNNNNNNNNNNNNNNNNNNNNNNNNNNNNNNNNNNNNNNNNNNNNNNNNNNNNNNNNNNNNNNNNNNNNNNNNNNNNNNNNNNNNNNNNNNNNNNNNNNNNNNNNNNNNNNNNNNNNNNNNNNNNNNNNNNNNNNNNNNNNNNNNNNNNNNNNNNNNNNNNNNNNNNNNNNNNNNNNNNNNNNNNNNNNNNNNNNNNNNNNNNNNNNNNNNNNNNNNNNNNNNNNNNNNNNNNNNNNNNNNNNNNNNNNNNNNNNNNNNNNNNNNNNNNNNNNNNNNNNNNNNNNNNNNNNNNNNNNNNNNNNNNNNNNNNNNNNNNNNNNNNNNNNNNNNNNNNNNNNNNNNNNNNNNNNNNNNNNNNNNNNNNNNNNNNNNNNNNNNNNNNNNNNNNNNNNNNNNNNNNNNNNNNNNNNNNNNNNNNNNNNNNNNNNNNNNNNNNNNNNNNNNNNNNNNNNNNNNNNNNNNNNNNNNNNNNNNNNNNNNNNNNNNNNNNNNNNNNNNNNNNNNNNNNNNNNNNNNNNNNNNNNNNNNNNNNNNNNNNNNNNNNNNNNNNNNNNNNNNNNNNNNNNNNNNNNNNNNNNNNNNNNNNNNNNNNNNNNNNNNNNNNNNNNNNNNNNNNNNNNNNNNNNNNNNNNNNNNNNNNNNNNNNNNNNNNNNNNNNNNNNNNNNNNNNNNNNNNNNNNNNNNNNNNNNNNNNNNNNNNNNNNNNNNNNNNNNNNNNNNNNNNNNNNNNNNNNNNNNNNNNNNNNNNNNNNNNNNNNNNNNNNNNNNNNNNNNNNNNNNNNNNNNNAAAUAAUAAACUAUCAUAUUUUUAUAAAAAUAAAUAUAUUUAUAUAAUAAAUUAAACAAAUAUAUUUAUAUUUUAUAUGUUUAAAAUGUUUAUAUUUAUUUUUGAUGUUUAAAAUGUUUAUGAUAUUUUUAUAAAAAAAAAUAUGAUAAUAUUAUUAUGUAUUUAAACAUAUAAAAAAUAUGAUAUGUUAGUAUUUCUGAAAUACAAACCUUUUAAACAUAUAAAAUAUUUUUAUUUACAUUUUAAAAACAAUUAAUUGAAUGUAUUUGAUGUCAUAUUAUUCAUAUUAACUAUUUUAGCAUAAUUAAUUAUUAACUAACAAAUGUUUUUUAAUUUUGUUUUGAAAAGUUGAAGUAUUAAUUAAGAAAUAUAUUCAAAUUUUGAUAAGACUAGGUACCUUUUUUAAAAUUUAAAUAUAAAAAGUUUAUAUCAAACCAAUAUAAAAGUUAUCAUAUGUAAAGCUAAAAAUAUGUUUCAGUAGAAAACUAUUUAGUUUUAUCAAAUUUUGAAUAUAUAUUUAUAUUUGAUAUGUUUAUAAUCUUAAGGGUUUUUUUUGCAAAAUAUUUGUAAACUUAAGGAUUUUUUUGCAAAAAUAAUUCAUAGUAACCUGGAAACCUGCUAUUGCAAGUAACAAGGGCAAAACCGACAAAAAAAUGAUAAGUUUACGGUAUAAACGAACAAAACAUCUGCCGAAGGGUAAAACUGACAUUUUCUGCCAAACUUAAGGUUUUUUAUGAUAUUAUCCCUAUAAUAUUUAAUAAAUAUUAUGAAAUUUAUUUUUUGAAAUGUAAGGUAAAAUAUCAUUCAGUGUCAUUUCAUACAUUUUAUUCUCGGGGAAAAAAAACUUACUUUACUUUUACACCACUUUAUCCAAAUAAAAGUCAUUACUCGUUACUAAUUAAAUACUUUAUUUGAUGGGGAGAAAGAAAAAGAAAAAGAAAAACAACCUAGUUGGAUAUCAAUCAAUGCAUUAGUCAAUUUGAUUCACUACAACAUCAAUUAACGUAAGACCUAACGUUAUUGAUGAUUACCACAUAAAUACUUUUACUUAUUUAGGAAAGAUUACAAAUUUUUGUGCAAAUAUCUUACACAUAGUUUCAACUUUCAAGAACUUGACAAAUACAUAUGCGUCGAACUGAUUUAGGCAGUAUAUUCAUAAAUCUAUCGGUGAAUAUAGUGAUAUAUUCAUGUGUCAUGUUCUUGAAAUAAGUUUGUAGAAAAGGAUUAAGUUAUCAUUACAUGAAGUACAAUAUUGAUAUUUGUCAGUUUCAAAUUGAACAUGACUUGAUUAUAAUCUAGAUAAAAGUCUAAACUCCACUGAAGUUAAUAUUAAAUCCAUAUAGUUUUUCUUUAUUAUUAAUAAAAACAUACGUCUAUACGGAAACACUUUUUCCUUAAAAUUUUACACUUUAACCAUAUAGGAGAGAAAUUAAGAAGUCCACAAAUAGCAGUAUUACCAUUUCCUGAGGCCAAAAGUAAAAGUAGAGCGGCAAAAAUUGAUCGAUUUAUCGAUUCAAUCUGAACUCAAUUCAAAAUUAAUAGGAUUUUAAUUAAUAUGUCUUAUCCAUUUAAUUAAAUAGGUUGGAUUAAGUAAAAAUUAUCAACAUGUUUUCAAUCUGUCAAACCAUUUAACUUUAAUAUAUAUUUUAUUUCAUAUUAUCGGUAUUAAUUUAUUAAUUAUAAUGUUUUAUUAUUAUUUAUGUUUUAAAAAAAGACUAAAUUGCAAGAAAAUCACUAUAUUAUCAUAAAAUUUUGAUUUUGAUACCGAGUUAUUUUUUUCUUAAUUAUGUCACUGUAUUUAUAAUUUUAUUGUAAUAUAUAAAAAAAUGAUCAAUUAUUAAUGUUCUUCCGAUAACCACUUUUCCCGAAUAGCAAUAAAGUCACUAAGUUUACCAAAAUUUCGAUUUUGACAUCAAAUUUAAAAUUGCAAGAAAGUCACUAUAUUAACACAAAAUUUCAAUUUGGACACCGAGUUUUUUUUCAUAAUUAUUUCAUUAUAUUUACAAUUUUAUUGCAAUGUCAACCAAUUGACCAAUUCAAAAGAUGUGGUUUAGAAGCUCGAUUUGUACAACAAAUAAAUAAAGGUUGAUCAAAUGGUUCAAACUAGGGAUGAAAGUGGGUCCAAACCUGGACCGGAUGGACCCGGACCCGAAAAACCCAGAACCGGUUAACGGUAUUUUGUAGAACCGGAAACCGAACCGGUAUAUAGGAAGCGAUUCCGGUUCGGUUUCGGGUACAAUACCGGGUAAAGGGCGUCUAGAACCGAAAAACCCGGAAACAUCGAAUUAGGUACGUUGGAACCGGAUAAAGUGGACUUAGAACCAGAAAGCCCAAAAAAACCGGAAUUUUUUGGUAAUUACUUACUACUUAGUGGGUUGAACUUUAAAAAUUUUCAUAUUUAUAUCUCGACUUUGGGAGACUGUAAUUCAUUGAAUAUAAAACCAAAAUUGACAAAAUUAUAGUCUAAAAUCAUGGACAAACUUUAAACUACACUUUGGAAAAAACUGCAUGUCAAUCCAAUUUUAAACGAAUGAGAUAUGCACGUGUUAACGUUUUCACAUAAUUUAAAGUACAAAAACCAAUAGUUCAAAAGUUGAAAAUUUUCAGCUUUGAUAUCCCAACUUCAGGGACUGUAAGUCAUUGAAUAUUAAACAAAAAAUGACAAAAUUAUAGUCUAAAAAAUCAUGUACAAAUUCUAAACUACAAGUUGGAAAAAACCACAAGUCAAUCCGACCUUAAACAAAUUAGAUAUGUAUGUUUUAAAACUUUCACAGAAUACAAAAAAAACGAAUAACUAAAAACUUUCAGCUUUGAUAUCUUGACGUUGGGGGACUGUAAGUCAAUUACUAUAAAACUAAAAAUGACAAAUUUAUAGUCUAAAGUCAUGUAUAAACUCUGAAUUACACAUUAGAAAAAAUCAUAUGUUAAUCUGACUUGAAACAAAUGAGAUCUGCAUGCUUUAAACGUUUCACAAAAACCGGUUCCGGUCCCAAAAAGUGGUUCCGAUUCCUAACAUCGGUUCCGGUUCUUAGACCCGGUUUCACCGGACCCAAUGGACCCAAACCCGGAUUACACGGAACCCAGAUAAAGCCAAUUUUUAAACCCGGAACCGGUUCUAUAUAUUCUAGUUCUAACGGUUCUGGUUCCGGUCCGAUUCCGGUUCCGAUCCGAUUUUCCGGUUUUAAAUCUCAUCCCUAGUUCAAACUCAUUUACAAGUCAGCAAAAAAGGCAUAGUCGCCCUUUUAGGAGAUGCUACUUAGUUUAAAAAAAGUCGAUUUGUACAACAAGCAAAUGAAUACACCUACAAUGUCGAUUUAUCUACACAACAAAUAAAUGAAGAUUCAUAUAAACUCACUUCUAAACCAAUUGACUGGUUACCAUAAAUGUAGCAGGAUAAUAAAUAAAUGGCAUGACAAUAUUGUGAUGUAGAAGCCAUGUAAAAUUUUAUGUGGUAAGAUUAAGUUUCAAAUAUAAGGGUUUGCAUCGAACUCGAUUUCACAUAUCUUUUUAGGUCAUCCAGUGGUUCAAAGUCACCUAAAAGUCAAUGAAAAAAGAGUACUCACCCUUUUAGGAGAUACUUUUUAUUAUAAUGUUUAAUGUUUAGUUUUUUUCAGAGUAUUUCUUCACAACUCACAUAUGAAAGUCAAUCUAAUGGUUCAAACUCACUUAAAAGUUAGUGAAAAUGCAUACUUACCUUUUCAGGAGAUGUUAUUAGGGUUUACAAGUUCGAUUUGUACAAUAAGAUAAUAAAGAUCCUUAUAAUGUCGAUACAGGAGAUGCUUAGUUAGUUUGAACUACUAAAUCGGUCUUAUAGGGAUCUUUAUUUACUUGAUGUACAAAUCAAGCUUGUAAACCAUAAUGACAUCUCGUGAAAGGGUGACUAUGCCCUUUUCACUCACCUGUAAGUGAGUUCGAAUCAUUGGACCAACUAUUUAUUUUUUGUACAAAUCGAGCUUUUAAACCGCAAUAGCAUCUCUUGAAUCGAUUAAUUGGUUGAUACUGCAAACAAAAUUCUAAAUGUAAUGACUAAUUGAGAAAAAAAAACUCAGUGUCAAAAUCAAAUUUUUUUAGUAAUAUAGGGACUUUCUUGCAAUUUGAAACUAGAUGUCAAAAUCAAAAUUUUGAUAAACUUAAUGACUUUAUUGUAAUUCGAAAAAAAAAUGGUUACCGAGAGAACAUGGAGAACCGAUCAUUUGGUUGAUAUUGCAACAAGACCGUAAAUAUAGUGAUAUAAUUGAGAAAAAAAAUAACUUGGUGUCAAAAUCAAAAUUAUGUGGUAAUAUAAUGAUUUUUUUUUUUUUUUUUUGCAAUUUUCCUUUAUAAAAAUGCAAUCAUAAUUCUUUUUUUUUUGCGCCGACAACGUUUGCUAUUCUGCAAAAUACUUCCUAAAUAAACAUUUUGAAUGGUUACAUGAACAAUUUAUUUGUAUUUAUGAAUUGAGAUUAUGCUUUUUUUCAUACCAAAAAGGUGUAUGUUUGGAUAAUUUUUAUUUUAUUUUAAAUGAAUUAAUUCAUGUUAACUAAUUUACUUAGUAGUUUGGAUUGAAAAAUACCUACAAAUAUCAAUCCAAUAAAAACUUAUUUAUCUAAAAAAUUAGAUUGGGUUAAAAGUAUCAACCUAGAUAAAUAAAAAUGUCAGGUUCAAUUGAAAUCUUGAACCCAAUUAAAAAAGGGUUGAACCAAAUCCAAUCCAACCUAUUUUUGAAUUUUCUAAGUAUUUUGAUCACUUUAUACUUUGUAGUUAGGGGUGGCAAUUGUUGACACGACACGACACAAAACGAAAUUGGGACGAAACUGAAAUUCAAAUUCGUUCGUGUCGUGUUCGUGUUAAGUGUAAAAAAAUACGAUGUCGUGUCGUGUUCGUGUUUAAAAUUUGACACGAAAUUGACACGAUUAACAUUUAUUUGUCGUGUUUGUCGUGUUAUAUAUGAUUAAAUAAACUAAUUUUUUUAUUAUGUUAUCUUUGUCGUGUCAUGUUUGUCAUUUUUUAAUCGGUUCAUUUUCGUGUCAGUUAAAAAAAACACGACAUCGUGUCAUGUCGUGUUCGUGUUACAUAAAACAUUGUCGUGUCGUGUCGUGUCAGACAAAAACACGACACGAUGGCCCGAUUUGCCACCCCUAUUUGUAGUUUGUCCCUCUUCACUUUUGUAUUUUUUUUAGUGUGAAUUGAAUUUGUAAUUUUCUUUUGUCAGUUAAAAUAAAACUUAAUAUCAUAUGAAAAUAAACCUAUAUAGCAAAAAAGAGAAAUUAAAUACCUUUCAAUUUUUCUUCUUAUUUAUCUUCCUAACCAUUUGAAAUUAUAACAAGUAUCUUAUUAUUAUUAUUGUUUUAAAUAUAACAAUUAGCAUCAUUUCAUAUGGAUAAAAAGAAAAAGAAAAAAUAAAAGAAUAUUUAAUUUCUCAAUAAAAAAAGGAUCAUAUUUCCGUUAUACACCAAAGAUAAGGUUUGGUACAAAGAUAAAGUACCAAAUCCUGUUAGAAAACCGACAAUUCCAUUUAGGACAACAAAAUCUAACCAAAACCAAAAUACGGUCGUCUUUUUAAAAAUAAUAAUAAUAUGAAUACAUAUGCUUUAAAAAAUUCAAGAACAUAUAUUUUAAGAGCGCGUAUUCUAAAUAACCUUCUUAUUGUAAUUGUAACAAAUAAAUAAAACGUAUUGUAAAAACCAACAUUGGACCACUAGAAGUGUUGAUAGUUACUGCUAGUGAGUAAAAUCGACAUUCUCCAUACACUGUCUAUAGGGCACUCAAACAUAAAGGGCAUAUUUAAUGUUGAAUAAAAUGAAUCAAAAGCAUGCAAUUUCUAUGGUGAUGAUAUGGAAUCUAUGACCAUGAUGAUGAUGAUGAUGAUGAUUCAUGGUGUGGAGCAAGUUAGAAAAAGGCGCAAUUUUGGGUGGGCAGUAAAUGCGAAAGUGGUCCUGAAUCCUCCUGAUGUCUCAUUCAUAUUCAUGAUGUCACACUGACGACAUGUAUGGAUAUUAUGAUUUAUGAAAUUAUCAUGGUCGGCUGAAAUUUUUUUGAUUACUCAAAAGUCGGUUGAUAUAUGAUAGAACCAAAUUAAUUUUGAUGUGAGCAAAUACAUGUGCAAAUUAAAAUCUUUCUAGUCGAUGAACUUUUUGGGAGAAAAAUCAAGAAUUUGAGCUUAAAAGUUAAAACAAUUAUUCCUAGGGGGGCCUACAGCUACCUUCAAUACCAUGCGGUAGUAAAUGCGAAUGGUUUUCAAACCACACAACUCUUCUCUCCUAUUGUAUUCCCAGUUUUUGUUUCCAAGAAUUUAUUGAUGUUUUUUUGCUUAUUUGAGGCCAACUUAGAUGCUCUAGUCGUUUUACAUGCUAUAGGAGGCAACUGUUACGGAAUAGAGCUCAUUAAAGAAGCAAUCAAUAAUGCAUGGAGAAGAUAAGGGCAUUGGACCUUUAGCAUGCAUAUAUAUAUAAAAGUAAAACUCUUCUCUUUUGGAAUAGUACUUGCCAAAAUAUUAAUCAUCGUUUCUUACUUAAAGGAUCUAUCUUUAAUAUAACUAUACGAUGAGCAUCAUUCAUAGUUAUUUAUUUAUAUAUAGAACUAAUUGUCUGAACUCAGUUGGUGGAUGAUAUUUCUUGCACCUGAAUCUGUUGUACGGAAUGGAAGAAUGAAAACAAAGAUAUAUACCCAAUUAAUUAAUUAAGAAGUUUGUGAAUUGGUAUUUGUUUUCACCAUUAAAUUUAUUUUAUGAGUAACGUCCCAAUUCAGAAAGUAAUCGGGACCAGUGGGACUUCUAGAUCAGCAUGCAUGUUCAAAAGGAAACCCAUACUUACUUCGCUACCUAGUACCUACUGCAAUUUUUUAUUUUCCUUUCACAUGAAUAAUCAUUGAUAAAACAGACUGGAUUUCAAGUUUAAUAUAGCUUGCUUAUUGCAAAAAUAGAAAAAAAAAAAAAAAGAAUUGAUAGCUACAUUCACAUAUAUAAACAUAUUACGACUAUGUUUAUGGUUGAUUAGCACUAUAAACUAGUUCAAAAUCAGUAAUACACAAAAAAGGAAAGUUCAAAAAAUAUAUAUUCGGUAGGUUGCCGUGGCACCCAUUCUUUGGUAGUUGAAUAUAUAUUUUUGAAAAAUUAUCUGAUUAUAAAUUAAACNACAUGUCAUACUCUCAAUCAAUUUGUCAAAUUUCAUUUUUUGGUUAUUUUCAAUUAAUAUAUUUUCAAUAUGUUAUUUUUUGAGUUUUUCUAUUUUAUUAAAUUGCAUAUAAUAUUUUAAUGUAAUAAUUACAAUAAAUGUUGUAAUAAAUGGAUAUCAAUUUUAAUAAUAAACUUACCCUUUAUUUUUAAAAUUUUCAAAUUAAAGCUUAUUAGUUUCUUUUGUUUAUUUAUUUAAAUUAUUUGUUUAAAUUUAAAAUUUCCAAAUUAAAACUUAUUAGUUUCUUUUAUUUAUUUAUUUAAAUUUAAAAGAUAGAAAACAUUUCAAUUAUAACAAUUCAUUAUUUUUCUUAUUUUUUUAUAAAUUCAAAGUUUUCAAAUAUUUUGACAUUUAUAUUUAACUUUUUUUAUAUACUAAUCUAUCAUAAUAAAUGAAAAUCAUUUUGCCAAAUGUCAUCUUCUCAUUAAAUUUGCCACAUGUAAUUUUAUAAAUUUUUUGAUUAAAUUUAAAUCCACAUAUCAUUUUGUGUUUUUUUUAAUUAAAUCAAUUAAUAUGACACAUAAUACUAAAUUUAUAUAUGUAAAAUAUUAAAUAUAUUUAAUGUGAUAAUAAAUGCAAGGAAUCUUAAAAAAUAUAUAUAUGAUAUAUUAAAAUACAUUGAAUAUGAUAAUAAAUUUAAUGAAUAUGAUAAAACAAUCAUUAAUAUUAUAAAUGAUCUUAUUAAUAGUGAUUCUAUUUAUUCAUUAGAAUAUGUCUAUUUAUUUUGAAAUUUUAUUUUAAAAAAUUCUUAAUAUUUAAACUUUGAUAUAUUUUUUUAAUCAACCCGUGUAAUACACGGGAUUCACACCUAGUACCUAAUAAAUGAAGGUUUUUUUGCCACAUUGCAUCACCUAAUUUAAUAUGCAACAUGACAUUUUUUUUAACUUUCAAUUUCAUUUAAAUCCACUUGGCAAUUUGUGGUUUUUUUUUGGCUUUGUUAUUAAAUUAUCAAAAAAUCUAAUCUAAAAAUAUAAUAAAGAAAAUAAAGAAAACUGAAAUGUCUCCAUAAAUUCUCACGUAAUUUGUCAAUUAAUAUAUUAAAUUCAAUUUAAAUUCAAAUCAAAAUUUCUAAUUGAAAAACAUGUAAUGCUUAACAAAAUAUAUUAAUUAAAAAAAAACUCAUGUAUUACUGAUAUGUGCAUAAUUAGUCAUAUUUUGUGUUAAAUCUUAAUACUUUUUGGCUAUUUUAUUGCAAAUUAUGAACAAAAUGUAUUUAAAUAUGUUUAAAAUGUAUUUGUAGCCUAAAAGAUGAGCUCGGAAUCGAAAGGAAGCAGAAAAAGUUAUAGGAAGCUCGGGAAUUGAAGAAAGAAAAACCUUGAAGAACUCGACGAGUUGGGUGCCUACUCGCCGAGUAGGCUCGAAGAUUCACGAACAAAUAAGAGUUCUUAUAGUAUACGGAUUUUAAGUGGUGGACUCGCCGAGUCGGUAUAUAGACUCGACGAGUAGCCCCUGUUUUCAGAAACUAUAUAAAGGGCUUUAAUUCACGAAUUUGGGACCUCUCUUGGGAACCCUUGAAGGAUAAUUUACGAUUCAAACUACUGCUGGAGCUCUAGAACUUGAAGAUCAAGUCUAAUCAUUCGAUUUUGGGGAGAUCAAGGCAAUUCAAGUGUACUCUUUACUUAAUCUUUUGUUUAAAUUAUGUUUGCAUCAAUUGAUUCGUUUUUGAGUUGUUUUCUACUUUAAUUAUGAGCCAAAAACUCAUAACUUCUGUUUAGGAUAGAUAACUUCAUGAAUAUGAUUUGAUUUUAUGAUUGGAUUAAUUUAAUUUGGUGAUUUUGUUUUGUAAAGUUUGUUAAAGAACCUUAUGUGUUAAUUACAAUUAUUUUCUGUUAAUUAACCAACAUAUUAAGUUGCAUUAACAUCUCUUGAUUGCUAAUCUCAUAUAAUUUGUGUGAAAACAUUGUUAUAUGCCUAGGAAUAGCGAACGUGAAACUAGGGUUAAUUAGAAAAUAGGUAAAUUAAUGUCUGAGCUUGUGUGACGAACCAUCAACAAGAGGUUAAUUGAAUUAGCAAUUUGAUUAGCUACUACAAGUCUUAUUUAACCCGAAUCAAUAAACUAGAAAAUCUAUUAGUUUAAUCAUUUGAUUACUGCUUAAACUGAUUUGUUUUCUAAGGAUUAGUAAUAGCGAACGUGAACCUAAUCACACUAAUCGGUAGCCAAAUGCUAAUUAAUCCAUUACACUUGUCAUAAAAUCAACCAUAUGAAUAAAUGAUCCAAAACCUAAACAAAAGUCUUUUCCAUUAUUGAAUUUAGUUGAUUUUCGUUUGUUUAGUUGUUAGUUGCUUAGUUGAGUAUUAGUUAAAUACUUAAGUUUCUAGUCUUGCAAAACUAGAGAAAACCCUUUCUUUUUACUUGUUUUAAAGUAAAUUACACGAAUGGUCCUUAGGGUUUGAGGUAAUUUGCACAUUUGGUCCCUAACUUAUUUUUUUAACUCGGAAAGUUCCUAUUGUUUGUUUUUGUUACGCCAUUGGUCCCUACUAUUUGUUUUUGUUACGCGCUUGGUCCUCAUCUUACCUAAAAAGACUAUUAUUAAAAUAGGAAAAAAUUGUGGGGUAGGUAAGGUAAGGUGUGGAGGAUGAGGUUGGUGGUGUGUUUAUUUAAAUAAAUUAAAAAAUAAGGGCAAAAUAGGUUGUUUCGUUAAGAAAGGGACCAAACGCGUAAAAAAACAAAAAGUAGGGACCUUCCGAGUUAAAAAAAAUGUUAGGGACCAAAUGCGCAAAUUACCCUAAACCAUAGGGACCAUUCGUGUAAUUUACUCCUUGUUUACUGUUCCCUGUGUUCGAUUCCCUACUUACCUAAACUAAGCUGCUAAUCGAUAGGUGCACUGUCUUUCGUGUGUUUGUUUCUGUGUCUAAGUUAGUAAGAUUAAAACUAGUGCAUUCCACACAUAUCAAGUUUUUGGCGUCGUUGCCGGGAAUGGUUCUAAAUAGUUAAUUUUAUUUGCUAAUUGUUAUCAUUUUUUAUUUUAUUUGUUGAUUAUUUUUUUAUAUAGUUUAAUUUUUAUUUUUAUUUAUUAUGUAUUUUCCAAAUCUCGAUGCUUUUGAUGUUUUUCUCGAGGAAGUAGUACAGGAAAUUGAGCAAGAAGAUGAGGAGUAUGACUCAGAUGAUGAUUUGAAGAAAUUUGGAAGAUGGUUAGAUAACAUCUUGCCUAAUGAACAAGAACAAUCUGAGUCAUAAGAGCUAAAGUUACAAGAUGAAUAAUUUAAUCCAAAAAGAGAUUUAGAGGAGCUGGAAAGGUUGUUGGUAGAAGGGUCAGACGAAGAACAAUAACAAGUUGAAUUGUAGGAACCAAGCUGUAGUUUGACCAUUACCACGACAUGGCCCCCUGUAUUUCCAGUUUGUGUUUCGAAGCAUGGGGUGACGAUUCCAACUUUGGAGAAAAUUCUGAAGCGCGAUCCAUUUCUGAUUAGUACCUGACCGGUUCCCACCCUUGUCAAGAUUCUUGGGUCACAUGAAUUCAAUCUCGUUUGGCCAAUUUUUGAAGCAAAUAGCCAAAUUUUACAAAUUGGUCUAAAGAAAAUAUUCAAUGCAACGGAUGGAUUGACAUUGAGUUUAUUGGAAGUUUAUUAAGUUAGGAGUCCAGCUCAAGACUCGCACAAAAAGAAGCGCUUGCGAGAGGCAACCCGUCAUUAGAGUUUGCUUUUCUUUUUAUUUUUCAUUUUGCUUGAUUUAAUUUUACUUUUAUAUGUUUGGUUAAAGAUACUUUUUAUUUUUGUUUGUUUUGAUUGUUUUAUUUUGAACUUAUGGUAGCUGGGAUUAUUUAGGAUGUUUUUGUUUUCUAUCACUUGUGGUUGCUUUGAUCUUUUUAGUUUGAGGCUUAGGAUUGCAUGUGAGGGUAUAGAGUCAAGGCUAACCAGGUAAGAAGUCGAGUCUAGGCAAGAGAGAAAACGAAGUUUUGAGUCAAGUUAUAGAGUAUUUAUUGACUGAAGAAAAAUGAGGGAAAGUAUUAGUUUAUAUUACCCCCAUACAUCAGAAACGGACCUGGGCAGAAUACAAAUUUCUCCACACAGCGGUUUACUCGUCGAGUGCAUCUUAUGGACUUGACGAGUCCAUGUGAAAUUUCGCGACUUUUCUGUCAGUUACGCUACAACUCGGCGAGUCAGUAUAUCUACUCGACGAGUCACUCGUUAAUUCUAUUUUGAAGUUCACAAUUUGACCACAUUUGAUACGGGCAUAGGUUCUUUUCUUUGGAGAUCAUUUUCACAGCAUUUCCAAGAGUUUUUUCUCUUAUAAUUGGAGUUGUACCACACGAGAUUUUGACACCCAAGACAUGGAUGAGUUGUUCUCAUGUCUAAAGUCAAUUGAAGAUGGAGCUUAAAGACAGAAUAUCAACUUCGCACUACUAUCACAGGGGAGUUUGUUCCAAUUCUCUUUUUAUUUUAUGUUCUUUAUCAUGCAUAACAUGCAAUGAGGACAUUGCAUAAAUUAAGUGUGGGGUAUGGGUCGGUUAUUUUAGUUAAAUUUUUAAAAUUUUGAAAUUUUUGCAUUAAAAUUGCUAGGGCUAAUUUAGAAAAUUUUGAUAAAGCAAUUAGGGUUCAAGCUAGUAUUAGGUUUGAAGAUUUUAUGAAGAACCAAAAUGUUUAGUUGAGCCUCUACACGUUAUAGUGCAUUUAUGGCCCCCUUUAUUCUAGUGAUAUCAUGAGACAAAAACACAAUCUCGCUUAGUUUGAAGAUCGCAAUAUGUUUAGCAUAGUAUACUUGAAAUAUAUCCAAGAAGACUAAUAUAUUUAACCAAUAAAUGUUGAAGUUGAGCCCCCCUACUUAAGCAUGUAGGUUUUGAGUGAAAAAAAAAAUGAGAUACAUGUAAAACAAAAGAGAGAAAAUUACAAGAAAAGUUGUAAGAAUUUUGGAACAAUCAAAGUGAAGAUCAAAAGAUCAAAGUUCUGAAGAAAUUCAAAAAAUUUGAAGAUACCAAAAAUCAAACGAAAAAGGUGGUGAAUUCAAGGAAAUCAAGAUCAAAUUAUUAAAGACGUGAAGAAUUCCAAAGAGGUCUAUUGUGGUAUCGAAAAGUUGUAAUUUUCUAGAUUAUGUAUGCUUGGGUUGUUGGACCAAAAAUACAUUGAGGUUAGGAAGUUUUAUGCGGAUGGAUUCAGAGGGAUGCAUAAAAUGAGCGUUGUUCAAAAGAACUGCCGAGUGUUUAUGAUGAUUGUAAGUAUUUAGAAUUGAGGAGGGUCCUUAGGAAAAAUUUUAGACACAAAUGCAUGCGUUGCGAUCUUGGCAUAAUGGNNNNNNNNNNNNNNNNNNNNNNNNNNNNNNNNNNNNNNNNNNNNNNNNNNNNNNNNNNNNNNNNNNNNNNNNNNNNNNNNNNNNNNNNNNNNNNNNNNNNNNNNNNUAUAUAUAUAUAUAUAUAUAUAUAUAUAUAUAUAUCCUCCCUAAUAAAUGAAAAUUAUUUUGACAAAUGUCACUCUCUCAUUAACUUGGAUAAAUGUCAUUUUUUGGUACUUCUGAUUAAAUGUUUUUUCCAUUUGUCAUUUUCUUAUUUUUUUUUUUUUUAUCUUUUCUUAAUUAAGAAAUCAUAUUUACACCUCAAUUAAUCAUUGCUUUAAUUGAAAAUAACCAAUAAAUUACAAUAUUUGUACUCAUUUAGUAUUUAAUAUGUUUCCUUUUAGAUUCAAAUUUUAAAUUUUAAAUUUCAAAUUUAAAUAAAUUUUUGUUUAAACUUCUAAUUUAAUUUUUGUUUUAUCAAACUCGUAUAACAUACGGGUCUCACACCUAGUACUCUAAUAAAUGAAGGUUUUGUUUGCCAUUUGUCACACUCAUUCAAUUUGCCAAAUGUCAUUUUGUGGUUAUUUUGAAUUAAUUUUUUUUUCCAUAUGCCAUUUUAUAAGUUUUUUAUUUUAUCAAAUUCCACAUAAUAUUUUAACAUAAUAAUUGCAAUAAAUGUGGUAAUAAAUGGAUAUCAAUUUUAUUAAUCAACUUACCUUUUAAUUUCAAAAUUCCCAAAACUAAAGCUCAUUAGUUUAUAUUGUUUAUUUAUUUAAAUUAUUUGUUUAAAUUUAAAAGAUAAAAAACAUUUACAUUAUAAUAUUUCAUUAUUUUUUUUAUUUUCUUAUAAAUUCAAAAUUUUCAAAUAUUUUAACCUUUAUAUAUAUUUUUUUUAAUUAACACAUGUAAUGGGUCUCACAACUAGUAACCUAAUAAAUAAAAAUCUUUUUACCACAUGUCAUCUUCUCCUCCAUUUUGAUAUAUGACAUUUUCUUGUAAUUUUGAUUUACUUAUAUUAUACUUGUCAUUAUAUGGUGUUUUUCGGUUUUUAAAAAUGCCAACUAAUACUAAUAUAAAUUUAUUAAUUCUUUCUAAAAUUAACUUUCUUUCCAUAAUAUAAUCACUACAUUUUUGGCAAUAAACAUAGCCAAAAUACCAUUAUUUUUUUAGAAAUAUUUUAUAAGAUUUUUUUUAAAUGACACCUAAGAGUAUUGAUAUAAAGUUUAUUAAGACUUUCUAAAAAAACAUAUCUUUCAUAAUUUACUUCCUAAAAUUAUGUCUCUGUACACACUCACUAUACCGUUUUUUUCUAAAUUGAAAAAAAGAGAGACUUGAUAACUUAUUUCAAAAUAAAUGUUCAUAUGUAUACAUGGAAAUUUGGAGAUAUUAUACGUGGCAUAAGGAUAUGCUAUACACAUGUAUAGUUAAGUUUUUAUAAGUAUACAUAUAUACAUUCUUGAAGGGCUAUAUAUGUAAAUUAUUUAAGUAAUAGAGACGGAUUUUUUUAAAUAUCUUAUAAGAUAAAAAAAUUUAAAUUGACACAUAACACUACUAAUAUAGAGUUUAUUAAGAAUUAAAAAAAAACAUUUCUUCAAUAAAAAAAAGUCUUUAGACAAUAACGGUAAACUUAGCAUUAAGACAUAUAAUGUUGUAUUAAAAAAGUCUUUGAAAAUUCAUGAUUAACAUUUAUUUUGAAAGUUUACUUUAAAUAAUGGUUACUAUUUACAACGUCAUAUUCAACACAGUUAUUUAAAAUAUUUCAAUAGUUUUUUAUUAAUAUAUAUUAAGUUACUUAAUAAUUCCCAAUUUCGUUUGUAUUUUUUUCUAAAUUUAUUUUAAAAAUGUUAAAUGUUUACACCUUGAUAUUUUUUUAAUAAAUCCGUGUAGUACACAGGUCUCACACCUAGUGUGUGUAACAAAUCAAUUAAUAACACUUUUAACCAUAAAGGAAUGAACCAAUUUCGUCCAUAAUUCUAUUACAAAUAGUGGACGUGCAUGCAUACGUUGCCAUACAAUUAUAAAAAAAACUUAUUUCUUGUUUUUUAGUUUUUAUAAUUAAUUUUUAUCGAAAAAAAAAUAACAUAUGAAAAUUCAUAAUUUUUCAGUUUCUAUAAAUAGGCAUCCAUAUUGAAUUAAAAAUAAAUAAAAAAUAAAAAACCUUCCAACUAGUUCAAAUGCAAAGUGUGAAUCCCAAAUCUGUAUAAUUAAAGUGUUUGGCAACUACAAUGUGAAUCUGUGAAUCUGGUCAUCUGAUAUUAGGGGUGUUCAAAAAUAUCCGUAUCCGAAAUUCCGAUCCGAAAUUCCGAAAUUCCGAAUCCGAAUUAUCCGAAAAAUCGGAUAUCCGAAAUUUCGGAUAUCCAAUUUUUCGGAAUCAGAAUUGGAUAAUGCUUUUCAGAUUUUUCGGAUAAUUCAGAUAUCCGAUAUCCGAAAAUUUUGGUUUUAUUUUAUACAUUAUUUGUUAUUUUAGUCGCAUAUGUCUUAUGAUAUGAAUUUUAGUAACUAAAACAUAUUGAUAACACCCUUAAUUAAAUACCUAUAUUACUUCAUAUGCCUUUCUAAUUUAAAAAUAUGUAUUUUUAACUUAAAAACUUCAUAUGUUUUUCAAAUUUUAACAAAAUUUCAAUUUUUCGGAUAUCCGGUUUGGUAUCCGAUUCCGUAUCCGAAAUUUCGGAUAUCCGAAAUUUCGGAUACGGAAUCGGAUACCAAAAAUCAACUAUCCGAAAUUUCGGAUAUCCGAAUUUUCGAAUAUCCGGUUAUGAACACCCCUAUCUGAUAUUGAUAUGUGGAUUAUAGUAAAUUUACAUGUGAAUUUGUGAUAAAUUCACUUGCGAAUCUAGCAAAGCUAGUUUAUAAAUAAUCAAAACGUUGAAAUAGCAUAAAAUUACAAUUAAAUAUACUUCGAUUCAUAUGUAAAUACGACUAUUUAUUUAAAUUUGGAUGUGGAUGUAAGUGGUUCAUUCGUAAAUCUCACUAAAUUAUUUUAUGAAUGAUCAAAGUUUUGAAAUAACAACUCAGAUUCACAGUCCAAAUACUAAAAACUGAAUUAUAUAAAGUUUAGAUUCACAAAAAAAAAACAAAAAAAACUUAUAUGUCAAUAUGGAUGUUUUUUAUAAAAGACAAAAAAUUAUAAAUUUUGGUAUAUUUAGUUUUUUUUCCAUAAAAAAUAUGAUCUAAACUUUUUUUUUCAAAACACUUUUUUUUUUUAUAAUCUAAUGCAAGUGCGUUCAACAUCUAAAUAUACAAUCCUUCUUUUGGCCCUUAAUCAUUUUUUCUCUAGGCCAACAUUGGUUUCUUGAUUUUAUGGUUUAAAAAAUCAUUGAAGUCAACUGUGUGUGUGUGUGAGCGGUUUAAUUAGUUUGUUUUGAAAUGAAAUAGUUUCAAUAUAUUUGUUAUUAUCUUAAAUAGUAUAAAGAUUAAUUGUUGAUAAGAAUUUGUUGAAUAAAAGGCUGGGUUGUGAAGGACGUCCUAUAAAACUGAAAUCAGGUUGUUGUUAAUGAUUACACAUGUGGACGAGAGAAAAUAAUUUUUGAAUGAAAGGUCGUGUGGAGUUGCCGAUUUUUAUACACUAACGGUAUAUACUAUAUACUUUUGAGGAAAAGACAAAAAGUCAAUAUGGAUUUUGAACUAAAAAAUAAUUUGAAUUUAGAGAGGGUAGUUGACCUUACUAUUGGGUCCGUAUAUAUNUGGAAAUUAAAGAAACGAUUGGCAUGGAAAAUACGUAAAAUAUAUCUGGAAUUUACCUCUUUCUGGUUGAUCUGUCUCUAUAUAAACCCCAUCACCCUUUUGGCCUCCCACUAAAAGGCUCUUCUUCUCCAGCAACACCAAGCAUCCUACAUCCGAUAUUCUCCCUUCAUUAGCCCAAUAAAACCAAACAAAAUCAGAGAGUGAGAGAGAGGUGUAUUAAAUAUUAAUGAAGCUUUUCACUACUAUUUUUUAUUUAAUUAUGUUUCUAGCUUCUCUUUUAUCAUACUGUUUAUUCAAGAAAGAAAAAAGGAGGCACAAACAAACAGCCAGGCUUCCUCCAGGUUCAAUGGGGUGGCCUUGCAUUGGUGAAACUCUCCAAAUGUAUUCACAAGACCCCAAUAUUUUUUUCGCCUCAAAGCAGAAAAGGUUCGUAUAUCAUAUAUCAUAUAUCACAUAUCACAUGCAUAAAUAUAUAUCACACGUACGCAUGCAGAAAUAAAUAUAAAAAAUAUGAUAUAUAAUGUUGUUUGAUUUCCCAUGAUCAGGUAUGGAGAUAUAUUCAAAACCAGAAUACUUGGGUACCCUUGUGUCAUGCUAGCAAGCCCUGAAGCAGCUCGUUUUGUGCUAGUGACUCACCCUCACUUAUUCAAACCCACAUACCCAAAAAGUAAAGAAAACUUAAUCGGACCUUCAGCCCUGUUUUUUCAUCAAGGCAAUUAUCAUGCUCGCAUGAGAAAGCUAGUUCAAACCUCAUUUUCUCCAGAAGCAUCUAGAAAGUUGAUCAAGGAUAUUGAAAAUAUCGCCAUUUCUAGCCUUCAAUCAUGGUCAAACGGUCAAGUCAUUAACACCUUCCUCCAGAUGAAAAAGGUACGUAUAUAUAUGAGUAUAUCAUUUUUAAUUACAAAUAUAUAUAAGUAUUUAUAAUUUUAUAUAUAUAUAUAUAUAUUCUCUACAGUUUGCUUUUGAGGUAGGAGUUUUGUCAAUCUUUGGUCAGUUGGAGAAGAAAUAUACACAAGAGUUGAAGGAGAAUUAUAGCAUAUUAGAAAAAGGUUACAAUUGUUUCCCAACAAGCCUUCCAGGAACCGCAUAUCAUAAAGCUUUAAAGGUAAAUAAGAUUUUUUUAAAAUAUAUAUAUAUUGUAUGGUUUUUCAUUUAUUAUAUAAAUUAUUGAUUGAUUGAUGUGAAAAUGUGAAGGCAAGAAGAAGACUGAAUCGGAUUAUUGGUGAGAUUGUCCAAGAAAGGAAGGAGAAGAAAUGGUUAGCAAGCAAUCUCUUGGGACAACUCUUGAACUUCAGGGACGAAAUGGGAAAUACAUUAAGUGAUGAACAAAUAGCGGAUAAUAUUAUCGGGGUACUUUUUGCAGCUCAAGAUACAACAGCUAGUGUCCUAACAUGGAUACUCAAAUAUCUUCAUGAUGAUCCAAAACUUCUAGAUUAUGUUAAGGUGAUAUUAAUCUGAUUAUAGCAAUGUACUUUUUCAAUANNNNNNNNNNNNNNNNNNNNNNNNNNNNNNNNNNNNNUUUCUACUGGUGGAAUACAUAAUGGCAGGCAGAGCAGAAGGCACUAUGUGAAUCUGAAAAUGGAGAGGAACAGGGGUUGACUUGGUCAAAGACAAGACAAAUGCCUCUAACAUAUAGAGUAUGGAGUUAUAAACCUUGGAUUCUUGUCAUUUUAAUCUUUUUGGUGUAGUAUAUAAGUUAAAUCUUUAAUUAAUGAUAAUCAAUUUCAGGUAAUACUAGAGACUCUGAGGAAGGCAAGUAUUAUAUCUUUUACUUUCAGGGAGGCGACAGUUGAUGUUGAAUACGAAGGUGAGUAAAAGAAAGAUUAAUUUAAAAGAUUUAGACAUAUUUAGUAAGUGAUUUUAAUUAAUUAAUUAAUUAAUGUGUGAUGAUGUAAUUAUAAUUGUAAUUUGUAAAUAAACAAACAGGAUAUCUUAUCCCAAAAGGUUGGAAAGUGAUGCCGUUGUUCCGGAACAUUCAUCACAAUCCUGAAUUUUUCACGGAUCCUGGAAUCUUUGAUCCCUUUAGAUUUGAGGUAUGGAAUGCAACACCUGCCCAAAGUUACAGUUUCAGUCCCUGUUGAUUAAACCAUUUACACAAAAGUUGAUAAUGAUUUUUAUGAGUUUUAUUUAAUCUCUUUAUUUCCAUUCUCGCAGAAUCCUCCAAAACCUAAUACAUACAUGCCAUUUGGCAAUGGAAUACAUGCAUGUCCAGGAAAUGAACUUGCAAAAGUUGAGAUGCUUGUUUUACUACACCACAUGCUUACAAAGUAUAGGUAGGUAUAUAUAUUAUAUAUGAUGUUAAUAUGUUAAAUAAUUAUGGAGGGUAUUUUGGUAAUUUGACCAUGUUGAUUUUUUUUUUUUUUUUUUGUUAAAUAACAGGUGGGAAUUGGUGGGUUCAACAAACUUUAUACAGUAUAGUCCAUUUCCAAUUCCAGAACAUGGGCUUCAAGCUAGAUUCAAGAAAGAAAUUUGACAGUUAAUAAUGUCUAGUGCAUACUGCAUGCCCUACUUUUUUACAGGGUUUAGCUACAUGUAUUUAAUACUUUCUGUAUAUCACAUUUGUAUUGUAUAUGUAUUCAUGAUAUAGAUAUAUAUAACAGAUGCAUCUUUACUUAUUAUCAUUGUGUCUAUAUGUAUGUAUCAAUAAAGAAAGCUCUAAUAAAGAAGAUAAAUAUUUGCUUCCUAUCUUAACCAAAUCUUCAUACUUACUUUUAAUCAUCUAUCUAUUUUGGAUUGUUAUAAGAGCAUGGUGGGAAUAACUGUUAACAUUUAGCUUCUAAUGUGAUUUUACUAUCACAACACAGAUAUUAUAACUCAUACAGUAACUAUUAUUAACAUAAGCAUCCAACUUCUAUAACAAAAGAAUGUUGGAUGUUGUAAAGUUUACAACAUCCAACAUUGUUUUGUUAUAGAAGUUGGAUGCUUAUGUUCAUAAUAGUUACUGUAAUCAUAAUUAGAGGUAAUCACUAAAGUGACAAAAAUGGGAGGUGUUAGAAAAGCAUAUGAUCAUUUGUUUGGGAGACUAACAGAAAAUAACCACCCGUUUAUCAGAAUGGGUUUUGCAAAAUUAUCUAAUUACUUUUCUGUACAUUUUCAACAAAAAAAUCCAAUUAUAUUACGCAAUUAUUAAUAUUUUAAGAAAAUAUGAAAAAAAAAAAAAAAAAAACAAAACAAAACAAAAUAUGAGCAAUUUCACAAUAAAAUUUUCUGAAAUUAUUUGUAUUUUUCAAAACACCUAUUGUUUUGCAAAAUAAAUAGCAAAUGAACAUUUUUGUAGUGGGGACCAUUCAUAAAGUAAUUUUACAAAUCAAAGUAAUUUCAUAAAAUCCAUUUUACCAAAUAGGUGAUUAUUUUGUGAUAGUUUCCCAAAAUAUGGCCAUUUUGUGUUCUAAAACCUCCAUUUUGUCAUCUUAGUGAUUACCCCUCAUGUUCAAUACAUUAACUUUUACAACUUCCAACUAAAAAGACCCAAAAAGGUGUUGGCGGGUCGACCCAACAUAUCAUGAACCAUCCUAAAAUUUUACCCAUUUUGGCUCAUUACCCACCCACCCAACCCAACCCAAUAAUGGAAAAAGGCUAGCAAAAUACAAACUGAUAUGGAAUAUUACAUCCAACUAUCUGGCAAAAUUUUCUUGCGAAGGGAGCUACAAAGAAGAAUUCACAUUUGCAAAAGGAAUCACAAGAGUAGAUAUAUAGAGGCAUGUUUCAAAAUUAUUGAGCUCCAUCACUAUUAUCAAUAAUUGAGAUUUGUCAACAUGUUGAAAGGUCCUUAGUAGUUGGUAGAUGCAUAUAACAUUAUGAGUGAUGGCCUACCAUCAUGGGCUUCAUGGUAAAAAGUGUUUAUAAUGACAUUGUAUAAUACUCCCCUACUCAACAACUACAUUGGAAAGAAAGCUAUAGGUAAAUUACUAAAUUAAUGUUGCAAAACAUUGAUGUUUCUAGGUUUCUAGCUUUAAAAUAUGAAGCAUUGUGCAAGUUUUCAAGAAAAUAGAUCAAAUCAAUGCAAUGUUUUCAAGAAAUCACAUUGAUAUGAUUGUGAUUAUCAAGGAAAUGAUAUAGACCAUACGAUACUAAACAAUGACUAUAUGAUAGAGUUUUUAACAAUUACGCACAUUACUUUCAAAAGAAAAACACAACUCAUACAUCUAUCAGGUUACCUGUUUGUAUGAAGGAAGGCAUUGAAGUAUCAAAUCGGAAACGAUUUCGUCCCUGAAAUGGAGGUUAGCCUCCUUGAUCAUAUAAGGCCAAAAAAAGAUUACAUUAAUCAACCUCAUUAGUCAUUUCUCAAGGACCUCAAGCUUUCAGGAAUCUUCUAAACAUUGAAUACACCAUAUAUUCAAGACCAAUAUGUCUAAUCAAGAUAAGGAGAUACGAAAAUAGCAUGCCAUAUCUAAUCUCAUCACCUUGGAAGGACCACAAAUAGAACAUUUAUUAUUGUUCAUGUGAACUACUGUUCUAUAGUACGAUAUA